CUCCUUUUCCUGAGCUAGAAGUAAUGAGACCCCCUCUGAGGGCAACCACAAAAAUGGGCUCGGGGCAGGGCCUCUUCCCCCAGUCCGGUCCAGGGCAGGCAACUCCACAAUUUGUCUGUCUUCCAUUGUGAGAAGCCUGCCACUGUGUGUAGGCAGCGGAAGUUGGCCCUUGCCCUCUCUGUAAACCCAAGCAUCUUGAGAUCACCUUCAGCAGAGUGGAGCAACCAAGAAAAGAACGAAGAACACUCUGCCUAUGGUAACAUCUCCGUUUUCAGAAGCUCAGAAAAGUAAGCUGCUUGCUCAAGAAUGGACGGCUUCAAGGUGGCAGAGCUGGAAGUUUCUAACUCACUCACCUCAUACUCAGACCUGCACUGUUUUUCAAGACAGUCAAUAUUUCAGGGUUCCCAGACUUUCACUGGGAGGGCAGUCUGCUGGAGAAUUCUAUCUAGCUUGUGAGGCUGAUGUUUUUCUUCCAUUCAGGCCAUCUACUGAUUGGAUGAGGCCCACCAGCAUUCUGAAAGACAAGGAAUCUGAGACCUGGCUGGGAGAAGAGGACUUGCCUAAAGUUAUCCCACACAGCAAAUUAGUUGGAAAACCAGGAUAGUUGAGUAAAUAUCCUGGAGCCCAGCCAAGUAAUGAAGCCAGAAUUCAGAAAGCUGUUUUGGCUAGAUCUUGGAUUUUUACAAUAAAGGGUCUGUAAGGGAUAUUUGUGAAAAAUGUUGACACUUGACGGCUGUCCUGAUUCAUUCAGCUACCUAGGUUAUCUCUGCCUCUCUUUGACUUGUGUUUUGUCUUUUAAGAUGGCAGUCUUGCUCUUUUGCCUGGGCUGGUCUUGAACUCCUGGGCUCAAGCAGUUUUCCUGCUUUAGCCUCCUGAGUAGCUGGGGCUACAGGAGGACAUCACUGUGCCCAGCUCUCUCCGUAUCUUUGACUAGGUUAUUUUACAACCCCAUACGAUAGAAAUGAAGUUAUAGAAAACUGAUAGGAAUACAAAUAAUUAUUAUCCAUGGAAAUGCAAAUUGGAUCUAAUGGAAUGAAACUGAUUUUUUUUCCAGCAGAUAGUGACCACCUUUGUAUCCUUUUGUAAAUUCAUUUCAGCAUUCCAUAUUUGACUAAAAAUGUGUGACACUCCCAAUUUGCUUUUGAAUUCAUUGUAAUAUCUACCAAUUCCCUCAUUAAUUAAUGAGUUAAAUAAAGCCUUUGGCAUGUAUUUAUUUUGUAUCUAUAGGAGAGUCAUGAGUAUAUCUUCUUUUAAAAGGUAUUCUUCAGUAGGUCUUAGGGUGCACAAUACUUACAUCUUAUUUUCUCAUUCUACACUGUUCCCACACCUCACCCAGAAUAAAUGUAAUCUCCUGUGAGCUUCUGAACAUCAUGAAGAAUAACAGCUCAUUUUGUAAAGUCAUUUAGUAUUCG
rnacentral:lncRNA from 10 species